rnacentral:rRNA from 1 species
UACGGGGGGAGCAAGCGUUGUUCGGGUUUACUGGGCGUAAAGGGCGCGUAGGCGCCAGCGCAAGUCAGUUGUGAAAUCUCCGGGCUUAACUCGGAACGGUCAACUGAUACUGCUCGGCUAGAGUGCGGAAGGGGCAACUGGAAUUCUUGGUGUAGCGGUGAAAUGCGUAGAUAUCAAGAGGAACACCUGCGGCGAAGGCGGGUUGCUGGGCCGACACUGACGCUGAUGCGCGAAAGCUAGGGGAGCAAAUGGG